UGUUUCCCCUUCGCUAUGUUUCCGGUUUCGGAUUUUAACAGUAAAACAGGGAAGCAUGUGAAGUUUACUUUUGUUUAACUACCUUUUGUUCAACGAUGAAGGGAUCUUAGACUUGUAAUACUGUUUACUGAUUUGAUUAUAUUCCUUGUUCCUUUGAUGGUUAAUUCCACUAUACAGCUGGUUCAUAUACCCUACAACAGCCAGGAAAUUGGCCUGUUUACUUUAAGAUCCCAAGAAAAUGUAACAUAUUUUGGAUGUGCUUUGAGGAAUCAGGAAUGCAAGUGUUUCCUCUUGUUUAUGAAGCAACUCAGUUGGUUAAGGGGCAGACAACUUGUGAGCAUGGUACAUCACUACCUGUAUUGGUAUUCCAUUUUGACAAUGUUGCUAGCUAGAAUAGAAAUAACAUCUUGCUGUGGUACAAUCUGUGGAGAAUUGUACUAGGAUAUCACAGAUCGAUUGAAUAUUCAACAAUGAUCACAGACCAUGCAAAGUUUGAAUCUGACUUGCACUUUUGAAUUUAGAAGAAUCUGUGGAGGAGGGUGAAUGCUGAGACCUUUAAUAAUACAUGAUAUUGCUGACACAGUAUGUCAGUCAUGAAAGAAAGGCCAUAACACUGCACAGUUGGUCAACAAUGAUUUAAAUCCUGUCACAUUCUGCCAGUGGAGAAAUAUCUUAUCACAAUAUUUUAAACUUUUGAAGAAGAUAAC